rnacentral:rRNA from 1 species
GGACCCGCACAAGCGGUGGAUGAUGUGGAUUAAUUCGAUGCAACGCGAAAAACCUUACCUACCCUUGACAUGUCAGGAAUUUUGCAGAGAUGCGAAAGUGCUCGAAAGAGAACCUGAACACAGGUGCUGCAUGGCUGUCGUCAGCUCGUGUCGUGAGAUGUUGGGUUAAGUCCCGCAACGAGCGCAACCCUUGUCAUUAGUUGCUACGCAAGGGCACUCUAAUGAGACUGCCGGUGACAAACCGGAGGAAGGUGGGGACGACGUCAAGUCCUCAUGGCCCUUAUGGGUAGGGCUUCACACGUCAUACAAUGGUUGGUACAGAGGGUUGCGAACCCGCGAGGGGAAGCUAAUCCCAAAAACCAAUCGUAGUCCGGAUUGCAGUCUGCAACUCGACUGCAUGAAGUCGGAAUCGCUAGUAAUCG